rnacentral:rRNA from 1 species
AGCGCGGGGCAACCUGGCGGCGAGCGGCGAACGGGUGAGUAAUGCAUCGGAACAUGUCCAAUUGUGGGGGAUAGCCCGGCGAAAGCCGGAUUAAUACCGCAUGAGCCCGAGAGGGGAAAGUGGGGGACCGCAAGGCCUCACGCGAUUGGGUUGGCCGAUGUCCGAUUAGCUAGUUGGCGGGGUAAAGGCCCACCAAGGCGAUGAUCGGUAGCUGGUCUGAGAGGAUGAUCAGCCACACUGGGACUGAGACACGGCCCAGACUCCUACGGGAGGCAGCAGUGGGGAAUUUUGGACAAUGGGGGAAACCCUGAUCCAGCCAUUCCGCGUGAGUGAAGAAGGCCUUCGGGUUGUAAAGCUCUUUUGUCCGGAACGAAACGGCUACGACUAAUACUCGUGGCUACUGACGGUACCGGAAGAAUAAGCACCGGCUAACUACGUGCCAGCAGCCGCGGUAAUACGUAGGGUGCGAGCGUUAAUCGGAAUUACUGGGCGUAAAGCGUGCGCAGGCGGUUUUGCAAGCCAGAUGUGAAAUCCCCGGGCUCAACCUGGGAAUGGCAUUUGGGACUGCAAGGCUGGAGUGUGGCAGAGGAGACUGGAAUUCCUGGUGUAGCAGUGAAAUGCGUAGAUAUCAGGAGGAAUACCGAUGGCGAAGGCAGGUCUCUGGGCUGACACUGACGCUCAUGCACGAAAGCGUGGGGAGCAAACAGGAUUAGAUACCCUGGUAGUCCACGCCCCAAACGAUGUCGACUGGUUGUUGGGGGUUUGACACUCUCAGUAACGAAGCUAACGCGUGAAGUCGA